rnacentral:rRNA from 1 species
ACGGGUGAGUAAUGCUUAUCUAACUUGCCAAUUAGUGGGGGAUAACCAUGGGAAACCAUGGCUAAUACCGCAUUUGUUACUUCGGUAAUGAAAGAGAGUCGCAAGAUUCUCGCUAAUUGAUAGGGAUAAGUCGUAUUAGUUAGUUGGUGGGGUAAUGGCCUACCAAGACCAUGAUGCGUAGCCAGUCUGAGAGGAUGAAUGGCCACAAGGGAACUGAGACACGGUCCCUACUCCUACGGGAGGCAGCAGUGAGGAAUUUUCGGCAAUGGGGGCAACCCUGACCGAGCAAUACUACGUGAAGGAGGAAGGUCUACGGAUUGUAAACUUCUGUUAGCAGGGAAGAAGGGCUGGACGUGAGUUCAGUUUUGACGGUACCUGCAGAGAAAGCCACGACUAACUACGUGCCAGCAGUCGCGGUAAGACGUAGGUGGCGAACGUUAUCCGGAAUUAUUGGGCGUAAAGGGUGCGUAGGUGGCAUAAUAAGUUAUUAGUGGGAAAUCGAGGCUCAACCUCGUGGAAGCUGGUAAUACUGUUUUGCUUGAGUGCAGGAGAGGUUAACGGAACUCCAUGUGGAGCGGUAAAAUGCGUAGAUAUAUGGAAGAACAUCAAUAACGGCGAAGGCAGUUAACUAUUCUGUUACUGACAUUGAGGCACGAAAGCGUGGGGAGCAAAACGGAUUAGAUACCCGUGUAGUCCACGCCCUAAACGAUGAGUACUAGGUAUUGGGAACUUGAUUCUCAGUGCCGCUAGGUAACCCAGUAAGUACUCCGCCUGGGUAGUACGCUCGCAAGAGUGAAACUCAAAGGAAUUGACGGGGACUCGCACAAGCAGUGGAGCAUGUGGUUUAAUCCGAUACAACGCGUAGAACCUUACCAAGGCUUGACAUGUUGGGCAAAGCUAGGGAAACCUAGUGGAGGUUAUCCUAACACAGGUGCUGCAUGGCCGUCGUCAGUUCGUGCCGUGAGGUGUAUGGUUAAGUCCUAUAACGAACGCAACCCUUGGGCUUAGUUGCCAGCAUUCAGUUGGGGACUCUAGACCGACUGCCCGAGUAAUCGGGAGGAAGGAAAGGAUGACGUCUGGUCGUC